UUACGGGAGGCAGCAGUAAGGAAUAUUGGUCAAUGGGCGCAAGCCUGAACCAGCCAUGCCGCGUGCAGGAUGACGGCCCUAUGGGUUGUAAACUGCUUUUAUACGGGAAAAAACCCUCGAUCGUGAAUCGGGGCUGAUGGUACCGUAAGAAUAAGGAUCGGCUAACUCCGUGCCAGCAGCCGCGGUAAUACGGAGGAUCCAAGCGUUAUCCGGAUUUAUUGGGUUUAAAGGGUGCGCAGGCGGAAUAAUAAGUCAGUGGUGAAAUCCUGCAGCUUAACUGCAGAACUGCCAUUGAUACUGUUAUUCUUGAGUAUAUUUGAAGUGGGCGGAAUGUGUCAUGUAGCGGUGAAAUGCUUAGAUAUGACACAGAACACCAAUUGCGAAGGCAGCUCACUAAACUAUAACUGACGCUCAUGCACGAAAGCGUGGGGAUCAAACAGGAUUAGAUACCCCGGUAGA
rnacentral:rRNA from 1 species